GGAUGAGACUUUUGAGAUGGGCGGGGAUGGAGCGGACGGGUUAAAAGGGCUGGAGAAGGAAUGAGGAAGCAGAGAACCGGUGAACGAAGGGAUGAGAAAGGGGCAGAGAGUUUCACAGCCUGGGCGGGGGCAGCGUUUUGGAGGAUAAUAAAAGCGCAGAACGAGAGAGAUAAUGGGCGGAGAGUGGGAAAGUGAUUGAUGGAGGAGCACAGAGACUCUGAAGGAGUAAAACAAGAGCAAGAGCUACGGAGGUUCUGACGCGGCGCGGAUGCUUGACCGAUCACUUGUCCGCAACGAACUGCGGUGCUGUGCGAAAAGGUGUCUUUUUGGCACCCAAGUUACUCUGCAGACAUUUAAAGUCAUCCACCAAAUGAGGAUUGCAGACCAAAUGCAGAGCACACCAAGCAGGACAGGGCGAAAACCUCUUCCCUCAAGGGCAACUGCUGCAUGGCUUGUCCUUGGGGUCAGUUUCUUCUCUUACAAUGUUUUGCCGACAAUAUCGCUGUACUUCCAUCCGCAACAGAGCAAGUGGAGGCAUCAAUUUGUCUUCCAUCCCUUGGCUGGAUGCAAAAUUGGAGGGCCCAUCUGCCAACAAUGAUUGUUGUGGAUGUUCAAGAUCCCACAGUGUCUUUCCCAAAGAGUAGGGGUUUCAAGCCAUUACCAAUUCCACCGCGAGACGAAUUUCCCACGGGCAGGGAGUCCGAGGGAGCUGUGGAUGCCAGCAGGCCAUGGAGAUGGGCAAGAAUCUGGCGAUGGAUGUCGUUUGCCCUUUCUGAGCCUCAGCAGCACAAAAGCACAAGUGCAACGGCAAGAGAGGAGGUUCUGCUGAGUACAGCAUGUCCAUUUGAUAUGGAUACGAAGCCUGGGUCUUGCUCUGCUCGGACUCCUUAA
rnacentral:lncRNA from 1 species